GUUGAAAAAACGGCAAAUCCAUAAAGAAAAUACACUCUUAUGAAAAAUUCUUAUUGAAGUUUUGGCGAUAUGUAACCCCUAGAAUUAAAAAAUAAUAAUUUUCUGGGGAAUCCUCUCACUGUCGAAUGACGAGAUAAAAUGCAAAUUUCCCGCUUUGGGCGCAUGCGCAAGAAUCUAGGCAAGUAGAACGUAAACAUAAGCGGCAGAAACAUGGCUUCCGAAGCCAAGAGAUGUCGGCCUAGAAUUGUAACGAGUUCGGCAACAUAGCGACGUAAAUAGAAAUGGUCACAGGUCAACCCGAUUAUACGACUGGGGAAACAACCCACUAGGUGGAAGACAUUCAAUGAAGAAAAUAGUUUCUCUACAAACGAGCAUGCAGCACGGAUUCUUCUGGAUAAGUGUGCACUUCAUUGACACAAGAAGUUCAUGCAGGUGAAGACAUCCCGACACCAGCUGAAACUUCUAUGGGACCGCCAUCACAUGUGUGCACCCCUACACCAGUAACAUCUACGCCUGCACAUGCCCAUAAAGAACCUAUAGCUAUAGAUAGACCUCCGAUGUCUCAGAUAUAGAAGCUCAGUCAUCACACUCGUCUGAUUUAUCUUGUGUGGAAGCAUUACAAUCAGACUCCUAGAGUAACAUUAAUGCCAGCUUGCUUUCCCAUUACCAACAGAAGGCUAAAGAGGAUGACACCUCAUUUAUUGAUAUACCUCAGACACAUCAACCUGAACACUUGCCAAUGGCUGAAGAUCCCAUAGAAAUUGAAGAGGUUGAUGUUGAUGAUGAGCUUGCAGAGGAUGAAGGAGACAUUGUGGAAACAGACACUCAAAAUGAUAGUGUUGAAGAAAGGAAAUCCAUAUGCUUCCAAAGUGCUCUGUUGUAACUCACUACAGUUCGAAUACCCACAACUUGUCAAAGAAAAGCAUGUGGUGCAAAUAUCAUUCUCCAAUGGAGAUAUGUUGGAUGUGCAGUACAGUUUAAAUGAAUUGGAGGAGCAGCAUUUGGUUCUAGUCCUGGAUCCUCUGGUUCACCUACAUUUUCGCAAAGGUCAAAAACAUUAUCCUGGCUGACGAUACACUAGCUGAAGAACUAAAUUUAUCAGUGGCUUUGGGUCCAUCCUUCUGAUUAUAUCCUAAUACAUAAAACAAUUAUUAUAGAAAAAACCCAUGUGGGUGGGAGUACUGUAGCAUUCUAAUGUAUAAAAAUAACUGUUUUUCCUUAUUUUUGGUUUUUGAGUUGAUAAAUUUUAAUGCACUUAUUAACUUAUCUAUUUUCCCUCAAAUUUCAUCCCAAAUUUUUCUACUAAGGUUUUAUUUAAGGUAUGUAUGCGUUUUUUGAUAGUUUGUGGAAGUAAGUAUGGUGUAAAUGUGGUGUUCAAUUUCAGAACAUGUAGGAGGUAGGUGUUCACUUAAUGGUGUAUUGCAGGUGUUUACAUUUCAGUACUAGUGUGUGUUUGAGAGUGUUCACUUGACAGUAAAUGCAGGUGUUCUUUCAACAUUGUGUGUAGGAAGUGUUCAAUUAUCAGUUUGCAGGAAGUGUUCACUUAUCAGUUUGUGUAGGAAGUGUUCACUAUCAGUGUGUGUAGGAAGUGUUCACUUAUCAGUGUGUGUAGGAAGUGUUCAAUUAUCAGUGUGUGUAGGAAUUAUUCACUAUCAGUUUGUAGGAAGUGUUCAAUUAUCAGUGUGUGUAGGAAGUGUUCACUAUCAGUUUGUAGGAAGUGUUCAAUUAUCAGUGUUUAUACGAAGUGCUCACUUGUGAGAAUGUGUUUGAGGUGCACGUGUGUACUAACAUUGUGUGUAGUUAUUAUUAACUUAUAAUAACAUUGUGUUCAUAGAUGGUUCAUUCUGAUAAAUGUGUUAAUCAAGUGUCUAGUUGCAUAUUUUUUCAAUAUUCUGUGAACUAAAAUGAAAUACCCCCAUGUGUAAUGUAAAUACCUACCUAGAGAAACAGGUCUUAUAACCAUACCAUUCACUUGGUUGGUUAAAAAUUAGGUGUUCAUACACAUAUGGGAAGUAUGUUUGAUGUGUGAGAGGGUCUGUGCAUUUUUGGUAAAAUUUAACACUUUCAGUGAGUAAUAGUAUAAAUUGUCUCCUGAAUGCUUUGGUAAAAUGUCUACUGUUCUUUUUGUCUGUGUACAUGCCAAAGAAAUAUCAAAAUAAAAAAGAUAUGAAAAGAAAUAA